GAAUGGAAGUCAGGAUGAGAUUGAGAGAGAGGAUAAGGGGGGAGGAUGGGAGUGAGAAAUAACAAAAGUGUAACAGAAACUUGAAAGUGAAAACAAUUUCAAAUAGAUUUCAUUUUUUAAAUUUUGUUUUCACUUUUGUUACUCCUCCCUCCCAUCUUCCCUCUCAAUCCCAUCUCCACUCUCAUUCU
rnacentral:miRNA from 1 species